rnacentral:rRNA from 1 species
UAAUACAUGCAAGUCGAGGGGCAGCACGGGUAGCAAUAUCUGGUGGCGACCGGCGCACGGGUGCGUAACGCGUAUGCAAUCUACCUUUAACUGGUGAAUAGCCCGAAGAAAUUCGGAUUAACACACCAUAAUAUAUUAGAGUGGCAUCACUUUUAAUAUUAAAAACUCCGGUGGUUGAAGAUGAGCAUGCGUGACAUUAGCUAGUUGGUGAGGUAACGGCUCACCAAGGCUACGAUGUCUAGGGGAUCUGAGAGGAUUAACCCCCACACUGGUACUGAGACACGGACCAGACUCCUACGGGAGGCAGCAGUAAGGAAUAUUGGACAAUGGUGGAAACACUGAUCCAGCCAUGCCGCGUGAAGGAUGACGGCCCUAUGGGUUGUAAACUUCUUUUGUACGGGAAAAAACCUCUUUACGUGUAAAGAGCUGAUUGUACUGUAAGAAUAAGGAUCGGCUAACUCCGUGCCAGCAGCCGCGGUAAUACGGAGGAUCCAAGCGUUAUCCGGAUUCAUUGGGUUUAAAGGGUGC